GCAAGAGGGGGGACUGUGAGCAGCUUAUUUCGCUCUCCAGAGGGGAGGAGAGGGACACCUCAUUGGGAAAUAUGGGUUUUAAACGGCGAGCUAGCCCGAUACAGAAAUGCUGAAUGGAUGGGGCCACUGCGACGUCACGCGGAGCCGCAGCCAUGCAGCGCAGAAGCAAAACGAAACAACGUUCGAGGGCGCAGCUCACACGCUCGCGCUUAUCCGCGCGAACUCUCUUCAUCCACACGUCAUUGUGAAACGAAAUCACCGCGACAAAGUCUGACGGCUAGGAGCGCGUGAUAGAGAACUGAAUCUGAGCCUGUUAGCUCCGUAUGGCUGGAAACGUUGGUCGGUCGGAGGGGUUGGCUGUUAUCUUUGGUUAUCUAGCUGUAUGAGUGAUGUACAUUCUUCAUAAAGCUAGAUAACCGAAAGUAACAAGAAUCCCAUUACACACCUGGAAAGGUCCCGCCCACUCUGCGCUCCUUGCCCCGCCCCUCACCCUCUUCCUCUUCGUGUGACAGCCGAGACACAGAAUGGACUAUGGAAGGAAGAGAAAUGACAUGGAGUAACGUCAUGGUCUCAGCAGGGCUUGGCACUUUCUGUCCUGGCGUUUAGCAGAGUGGGAAUGCCAGGGCAUUCCCCACAUCCCCUGAGCAGCAUAUGCCAUCCCCGUGCCAGGAACAUAAGCUAUCUACGUAGCUUGGCCUGGCUGCUAUGAAUAGCUGAACUGACGGAACUCACCGACCGAGGCUCAAAACGGAUGCACUGUGGGAUAGGACCCGAGGACUAAGCGUUCUUCUCUUCGGCUCCCACCCUCAGCCCCCACCACACUGUCAACCCCACGAAGAGAAGUGAAUGUACUUUAGACUGUUGGCAAAGACAAUGGGCCCACACACAAUGGGGAUUAAGUUUAGGAGCUGCAUUGACAGACCAUGGGCGCCUCUCUCUAAAAGACACCAGCAAGAGGGAAGGGAAAGGAGCCGAGGAGGAGGGGCGGGUGUGUGGUGAGGCUGCUCACCCUCUCGCUUCGCCCUGCGACGCGCUGCUGCUCUCCGCCCCUCCCCUCUCUGCCUGCCCCUACCCGCUGUCGCAAGCGGCCGUCCACGCUUUGCCACCAUCUUAGAGUUGCUGGCAUGAAAUGCAAAGAGGAGGAGGAACGAACAGGUAUCGAAAGAGUCACAUAAAGGAUUCAUAUGAACAGCAAAUCUGAACAUAGAUGACAAGGCACAUGUUUGCUGGGGAAGUUCUUUGGCUUGGCAGAGACAUCUGACCCAACAUUGAAACAGAACUGCACUUUAAAUGGUCUCUGCACUUCCUUCCUGUAUGAUGUACGUAAUCUGUUAUAGAACUCUUUAGAACUUUUUUUCUGUUGUUUUGCAAAGGUCUUUAUAAUCUAACAUUCUAAUAUUAGCUGUGCAAACUUCAUCUGUAUUAGAUGACAUGUAUGGAUAAUGAAGUAAGAAAAAUGACAAGAAAAUCUCACUCAUGUGACCAGUGCAAGAGGGCAGUCUACUGGUGCCCUAGAUAAUCCAUGACUAAUCCAUGACUACAAUCUAUGACCUGGGUUGAAAUGAAAAAUACGAAUAUUACAUGCAUUUUGUAUAUUUGCACCAACACAUUGAACUAGACCUCACAAUACUCUAAUUUGAUUCUUGUGAAUUAAAAAAAUUGUAGCGGUCAACCAUUUAAAUGUUUUUCAAAGAAAAAUAAGAAUCUAGUAUUUAAGAGAUGUAGUAUUUAAAUGUAUAUAAUCCAGAUUGAAACAAUUGACUGGUUUUAUCUGUCUAUACAGAUUAAAAUGAAAUGUUUAGUGUAGAGCACUUUACACAUUCAUGUAAUCUACUCCUCUCCUCCUUAAUUUGAUAUUAGAGGUAAAGCACAAGUGUGUCUGUUGUGAUAUAAAUUACCCCACUAGAUUUUGUGUUUAACUAUGUAUCCCUCUGUUAGACCUGAUCAUGACUGUAUACUCAAAGUGGAUAGCUAAAUGAUUUCCACAAGCUGUGUUCUCCGGUACUGAUGAUUUACAGAUAAUGGGCUGAGUGUGUGAAUGUGAGACCCACGGCAGCAGAGAAGGAUACUGCACUGUGAUUGAACAGCUCUGUGUGUUUAUAUUUACACACCCAAUGUAGAGAGAGCUGUUGUCUUUAUUUUCUAUGCAGUUGCGGUGGACUUGCAAUCAGUAAUGAGCUGUGUAGAGUCAGUCCUCAGCAGUUAAAAGCUCAAGAAUUGACUAUUUACUAAUCUUUGAGGGAGGGAAAUAUUUGAUCUGGUCUUUAGCUACUUAAAGAUACAGUAAACAUUCAGAAGAGCCCACUGUUCUUUGGUUUCUGGAUUCUGUUCACUAUGGCUGCAGCCAUUGCUAGCUGAGUAUGAGCUACGUGAUGAAAGUGAAUGACUGGUCACUACAUCGAUAGUUUAUUUUAUUAUUUCAUUGAGAAUAACAUUCAAAAAUUAAUUACAUUUUUAUGUCUAUUCUGUGAUUUCUAUUCAGAUACCUGGUUUUUUUUUUCAGUACUUAAUUUAAUAAUCAAGCUUGGGCAGAGGCAAAUAUAUAUUCUAAUUGUCUAUGCAAAUUUCUUAACAUUUUAUUUUUAUGUGAAUUGUGCAAUCAAUUUUUAAGACCUACUUUUUGUAGGUCAGUCACAGACACUGUUGUGUUUGAACCUAUUUUGAAUGCAAUCAGAAUUUAAAUGAAUCUAUAGAAUGUGCAUGUCUUUUAAUUUUAUUGUUUUAUAUAGAAGAAAUGUGUGCGCUAUGAGUCAAUGUCAUUUGCUAUGCAAUUUUUGUGAAUCAUGUGUUGUAUAAAUAUUUUUUGAGCAGACGCACCAUUUGGAAACUUGCUGCUGUGUGUUUGUGAAGUGUGGGCUAGUUUCCUGAUUAUUAAGACUAAUGGAAUUAACUCUAUCUUCUAGGCCACCGCCAUUACACCAUUUGGAAACUUGCUGCUGUGUGUUUGUGAAGUGUGGGCUAGUUUCCUGAUUAUUAAGACUAAUGGAAUUAACUCUAUCUUCUAGGCCACCGCAUAUGCCAUUUGUGCCUUUGAACUAUUUUGUCCUGCUAUGGAUAUUAAUAAAACAUUUACACUGUAAACAUCA